rnacentral:lncRNA from 1 species
GGUAACUGAGAAAGAGAUCGUAGAUAAAGAAAUAAAAAUGACAAGCGUAAUGGAGGCUGUGCGAAGGGACUGUCAGAGCAUCCGUUCAUGGAUGGCAAUCUUGCCAGGCAGAGAUUGAAUAAUUCAUAGAUGGAAACUACCCUGCCUUCACCUUCCCAUUUAAACCGGGCAUGAGCUGAAUCUCUAAUAAAUUUUCAAGAUAAAGUAAAAUGCCAAUUUGAAUCUGAAGAGCUUUUAAAAGCAGAUGUCGCAUCCCCCCGAAUCGUUCAGUAUCUUUCACAAUUACACUCUGAGGACUGCACUUCAUCAGGAAGCACCGUCACCGGGGAAAAUGACUGUGAUUACAAUAGCAACAAUAGAAUGCCAUCGAAUGAUCUCUAAUUUACCUAAUUUGCUAAGACUGACUGGCUUAAAUACCCAUUGUGUGUUGCUGGUGCCCUGUCCGUGGAUCUCUCUCAAGACAGAACAAAAGUGGUGUACUGUGUGUGCUCCCUUGGUUCACACAGUCUGGCAGAGAUCGGUCUUCUAAGUUACAAUGUCUCUUUCGUCGGCUUUUCAUCUUUGUAUUUUUUUAUAUUUUUACUUUUUUCCUAAUGCUUUGUCCUAAAUGCCUUUUGAGGGAAAAUGGCAAGCAGUGACUUGUUAAUUUAUACACUUCUUAAAUUU